rnacentral:misc_RNA from 1 species
AACGCACAUUGCGCUCCCUGGCAUUCCGGGGAGCACGCCUGUCCGAGCGCCGUUAUACCCCCUCAAGCCUCGCUUGGUGUUGGACUCCGCCCCCGCCGUUUGCGCGAGGGCGCCGUCCGAAAGUCAUCGGCGCCCGUCGCCGGCCCCAGCGUUGUGGAAUCAUCCGCUGUGGCCCGGCCGACGUGGUUGCCUCGCACCCAUCAGUACCUAUUGGCCUCGGAUCAGGCGGGGAUACCCGCUGAACUUAA